AUUUUACAUUUGAUGAUCGCUCAGUUUAGCCUUUUUGGCUAAGCUGUGAGGAAAGUCCGAACUUCCUUUGAAGAAAUUCAAUGUCAAGGUAGUGGAUAACAUCCACCCUCCGUCUCUCACGAGAAUUGGAGCGGGAAAGUGCCACAGAGACUAUACUAGUCCGCCGAUUCGGCGGGCAAAAGGUGAAAAGUGGUUUGGUGUCAUUUGCACAAUUGACAAAUGGCUACAAACUUCGGCUCCCAGUGAUGGGAUGUCGUGGUAAACCCUAUCUGAAGAAAGAGCAGCGUUACGAUUUAUCGUUUCGAAAAGUUAGCUCGUUUGAUCCCGACAGUAAUGUCGGGACUAGAUAAAUGAUCAUCGCCCCACCCCUCGCGAGGGGUGGGAUUACAGAAUUCGGCUUAUAUUUGUAGAAUGGAC
rnacentral:RNase_P_RNA from 1 species